UACGUAGGGCGCGAGCGUUGCCCGGAUUUACUGGGCGUAAAGGGCGCGUAGGCGGCGCGGUAAGUCACUUGUGAAAUCUCUGAGCUUAACUCAGAACGGCCAAGUGAUACUGCAGUGCUAGAGUGUGGAAGGGGCAAUCGGAAUUCUUGGUGUAGCGGUGAAAUGCGUAGAUAUCAAGAGGAACACCUGAGGUGAAGACGGGUUGCUGGGCCAACACUGACGCUGAUGCGCGAAAGCCAGGGGAGCAAACGGG
rnacentral:rRNA from 1 species